UUGUGGUGUAGUUGGUAGCGCAUUAGCUUAGUAAUUAUAAGUCAUAGGUUCAAGUCCUAGUCGGCUUAA